AUGCUGUUGUCCAGAGCCCUUUUUCUGUUGUACUACUGGCAAUUAUGAUGAGCAGUGCAAUAUUAAAAGGGCAUUGGCUGGCAGAAACAUGACC
ensembl:miRNA